rnacentral:lncRNA from 1 species
AGGUGGAGUGAGAGAGAGGGAGAGGAGGGGAGAACGAAGGUGCAUUACGUACACCUGCCAGCUCUCCACGAUGAGUGCACUCAUGGGGUAUUGAAACACGUCCUCAUAAACGAACACAUUUUUAGAAGGAGAGAGAAAAAGGGUGGGCAGUGAUGGAGGUACUAUGUCAAAUAAGUACCAUACUAAAAAUGUGUGCCCAAAGAGAAAUGAUAAAUAGAUUCCCUAGAGGAAGCAAACGAUGAAGAAUUUAAUCCUACAAAGGCCACCGAGUGUGAAAAUACUGUGGCAAGUGAGCACAUUGACCUGGGUCCAGAACUGACAGGUUAAACUAAGGCAGUGAUCAUUGAGGAAACACUAGUUUCCACUACCUGCCAGAGAAUACAGAACAUAGAAUGUGCUCAUUGCAUUGUUAUUUUUUGUGUGUUUUAUUAUUUUAUUUUCGUAUCACUGGAGAUCAGAUCCAGGCCAUCAGCACACUAGGCAAACUGUAUCACCGAGCUCUACCCUCGUGCUUCUGUGCACUACUGAUCCAGAAGAGGAGGAUGGCAGCUGAAAGUGUUUUCCUUGACGAAGGGGAUAAACUGAAGGUAGGAAAUAAUGACAGUCUUCCAGAGCUUGCUAUGGAUUUCACAGAAGCAGAUCACAAGAUCAACAGACUCUUUCUGAGAAGCAAAUAUGUCCUUGGUUUAUGGAUCAACUUUACUUUAAAGGAAGCUAAGAACUCUGUUACUGCUAAGCGAAAGAAUAAUCAUGCUGAAAUUAUAGCUGUGUGUGAGUGAUUUGGAUACACUGCACAAAUCUGCGGAAUCGUGAACUUGGGAUUCUCUAGCGGCGUCUCUAUUCUCAGCACGUACAGGCCAGCGACCGAAGUUAUCUUCCGUACAGCUUCAAGAAUCCUAGACCAUUUCCAUGCAUUCUUGUCAUCUUGAAGUUGUUGUUACACAAAAAUUACUUUUCUGUGAAUCCUUAAUAAAGAAGUUAAAAGUUCAAAUUCUUUCUUUAGAUUUACCUUUAAAGCAUGAUAUUAUAAUUGAGACUGUAAUGUGAAAACGUUUCUAGUUGUAAUAUGUCAGGAUAUGUUGUCGGAUCUUUUAUAAUGUUUAUUGUUAUGUUUUAAGUUAUGUUACACUUUUAAAAACAAAUGUGGAUCUCACAAAAUGUGAGUGACUUAGACACACACACACACACGCAAACACACACACAAACACACACACAAACACACACACGGAUGAUUCUUGCAGUCAAUCUAAAAGCGAGAGCAACAAUAGUAUCUUUGAGUCCUCC